rnacentral:sRNA from 1 species
UGCUCUAUAACCGGAGGGAGAGUAGGG